UUCUGGCCACUCUUUCCGUGACAUUUCAGUGAGUCGGGUGACCUCCAGUUCAUGAUCACCUUUUCCCGUAGUCCGUGUGUGUGAAGAGUGAACCGGGCGAGCCAGGCGAGAAUCGUCCCAACUUGAGGAGGAGGAUGGGCUCUUUCGUCGCCAAGCCCGAACCAGAAAACGAGAUUCCCAUUCAAGUCAAACAGGAGCCAGUGGAAAUCAAGGAACCACUCAUUGAGGAGGACAAAUUUAAGCAACGCUA